UGCAGGAGUUGCAGAAGUAAAUCAAGUCAGCGUGAUAACUCAAUCCGAGUGUGUGCUCAACUGAAAUUGCCUCGUGAAGAACACAAUGUUCUCUUCUGGCCAAUGUGCAACAGGUUGGCCAGGGCUAAUUGUCUCCUCGAUGCUUUUUGGAUUGAAAUUUCCAAUGGCCCAAGAUUUAAAGGAAACAGGUGGUGUGGAUUUGAGGAGAGUGGAGCUUUCUUUGGAAAACAGGAAAGAUUUCCUUGGGCUGAGAAAGAGAGAGACUCUGUCCUGGACAGAGGGGCCCUGCUUCCUGGACAGCCCCACGAAGGUAAUAAGAUACCAGAUAGACUUGGCGGACACUAGAGUGAGCUCGAAAUAUAUUAUGGUGACAUUCCAAUAAGAUCCUAGACUGCCACUUCUGCCCAGAAGCACCAGAAUGGUCCUGUGUCCUGGAAUAGAGAUUCUUCAGAAGUAGUAGAGAUGACCUAGUCCUAAAAGAGCCAGGCAGAGAGCAAAGAGUAUGCCUAAAGUACUGCAGGGAUCAAACGGAGUGCCCAAGAAGAUAGUGAAUAUUUCCACACAUACCCACAUAGACAGAAGGCUUCAAGAAUCAGAAGAAUGUCGCCUCCUCCACCGUGCCUUCAUACUUGGUCAGCCCUGUAGAACUUAGACUCAGUGCUGAAGAGGACAGGGGGAGAAAGAAUACUGGUGAGAAUUACCUUCUGUCAUCUGACAUAAUGGGAGUUCAAAAUAGAAAUUCAGUUGAGUUAUAGACAAAAAAGUCCUAAUUUCUCACUUACCUAAGAGUGUGAACUGAGAUUUAAAGUCAGUAUAUUUGAAAAAAAAUAGAGGGGAAGGAUGAGGAUGAGUGUUUUAGUAUUAGUGGACUUCUACCACUUUUUUACCACUAGCUGAAGCCAGAGAAGGAGGGUUCUCUUUCUCUAACAAGAGCUUAAUUUUCUCUGAUGGCUGUUUUAAAGCAUAGUGAGUAUCAGUAGAAUGGGAAGGAUUAAAAAGAGCUCCUGAGGGCUCUUGUCCCCGUGCUCUGCUGCGGGACAGCUUCUUUCAGUGAGGUGUCGACAUAUUUCCUCCUCUUUCACUUCGUGUGUCUGUUUGCUUGUGUAUGAAGGCAGUCUCUGUUGGAUUUCUCAGAAACUAAGUAAUAUUUUAACAUGUAUCUUUGAUUUGAUAUAGGCUAUAUAACACUUUAAAAUUUUGACUUUAGUUUAUGUGCUUCUCCAAUUUCAAAUUUUUUUAUCCUUUAAUUUGUUUUAUUCACAUUACCUUAAAGCUUUAUUGUCGUUUGAACUUUUCCCUUUAAUUUUUCCUCUUUUAAAUUUGUUUUUCUUUAUUUGCUUUUAUUAACAUCUGUUGUAAUCCUUUUCUCCUUUGUAGUUUUGUGUUUGGAGUAUAUUGUUAGUUUUUAUCUUUUAUCUUGAAUUUUGUUUUUGCUACCUUAUGUUAUUUUUCCUUUAGAAAUGCUUUAUCCUCCUAGUUAUUUUCAUCUUUCCUUGGUCUUAUGAUUUAAUCCUCUUACUCCUCUAACUUUUCUUUAUUAUUUUGCUUUAAUUUUACUUUCUUUCUCUCAAAAUUUGAAUUUUCUAAAUAGUAAAUAAAAAACAGGUUCAAAGCA
rnacentral:lncRNA from 1 species